UACGAAGGGGGCUAGCGUUGUUCGGAAUUACUGGGCGUAAAGAGCUCGUAGGCGGUUUGUCGCGUCUGCCGUGAAAGUCCGGGGCUCAACUCCGGAUCUGCGGUGGGUACGGGCAGACUAGAGUGAUGUAGGGGAGACUGGAAUUCCUGGUGUAGCGGUGAAAUGCGCAGAUAUCAGGAGGAACACCGAUGGCGAAGGCAGGUCUCUGGGCAUUAACUGACGCUGAGGAGCGAAAGCAUGGGGAGCGAACAGG
rnacentral:rRNA from 1 species